rnacentral:rRNA from 1 species
AGGAUGAACGCUGGCGGCGUGCCUAAAACAUGCAAGUCAUACGGUCUACCUUCGGGUAGACAGUGGCAAACGGGUGAGUAACACGUGGGAACACGCCUUCGAGUGGGGAAUAACGCUGAGAAAUCAGUGCUAAUACCGCAUAUGGUCUAACGACUAAAGCAGUAAUGCGCUCGGAGAGUGGCCCGCGUCCGAUUAGCUAGUUGGUGGGGUAAUGGCCUACCAAGGCGGUGAUCGGUAGCUGGUCUGAGAGGAUGGUCAGCCACACUGGGACUGCGAACGGCCCAGACUCCUACGGGAGGCAGCAGUUAGGAAUUUUCGGCAAUGGACGAAAGUCUGACCGAGCGACGCCGCGUGGAGGAUGAAGCCUUUCGGGGUGUAAACUCCUUUCUGCGGGAAGAUAAUGACGGUACCGCGAGGAAUAAGCACCGGCUAACUACGCGCCAGCAGCCGC